rnacentral:rRNA from 1 species
CGUAGGGGGCAAGCGUUGUCCGGAAUUAUUGGGCGUAAAGGGCGCGUAGGCGGGUAUUUAAGUCUGGUGUGAAAGAUCAGGGCUCAACCCUGAGAGUGCAUCGGAAACUGGGUAUCUUGAGGACAGGAGAGGAAAGUGGAAUUCCACGUGUAGCGGUGAAAUGCGUAGAUAUGUGGAGGAACACCAGUGGCGAAGGCGACUUUCUGGACUGUAACUGACGCUGAGGCGCGAAAGCGUGGGGAGCAAACAGGAUUAGAUACCCUGGUAGUCCACGCCGUAAACGAUAAGUGCUAGGUGUAGAGGGUAUCGACCCCUUCUGUGCCGCAGUUAACACAAUAAGCACUCCGCCUGGGGAGUACGGCCGCAAGGUUG